rnacentral:miRNA from 1 species
CUGCGCCUCCUCCUCCUCCUCCUCCUCCUGCUCCUGCUCCUCCUGCAGCAGGAGGAGGAGCAGGAGAAGGAAGAAGAGGAGCAG